rnacentral:rRNA from 1 species
GGUUAAGCGACUAAGCGUACACGGUGGAUGCCCUGGCAGUCAGAGGCGAUGAAGGACGUGCUAAUCUGCGAAAAGCGUCGGUAAGGUGAUAUGAACCGUUACAGCCGGCGAUGUCCGAAUGGGGAAACCCAGUGUGAUUCGUCACACUAUCGUUAACUGAAUACAUAGGUUAACGAGGCGAACCGGGGGAACUGAAACAUCUAAGUACCCCGAGGAAAAGAAAUCAACCGAGAUUCCCCCAGUAGCGGCGAGCGAACGGGGAGCAGCCCAGAGUCUGAAUCAGCUUGUGUGUUAGUGGAACGGUCUGGAAAGUCCGACGGUACAGGGUGAUAGUCCCGUACACCAAAAUGCACAGGUUGUGAACUCGAAGAGUAGGGCGGGACACGUGGUAUCCUGUCUGAAUAUGGGGGGACCAUCCUCCAAGGCUAAAUACUCCUGACUGACCGAUAGUGAACCAGUACCGUGAGGGAAAGGCGAAAAGAACCCCGGCGAGGGGAGUGAAAAAGAACCUGAAACCGUGUACGUACAAGCAGUGGGAGCACCUUCGGGUGUGACUGCGUACCUUUUGUAUAAUGGGUCAGCGACUUAUAUUCUGUAGCAAGGUUAACCGUAUAGGGGAGCCGCAGGGAAACCGAGUCUUAACUGGGCGUUAAGUUGCAGGGUAUAGACCCGAAACCCGGUGAUCUAGCCAUGGGCAGGUUGAAGGUUGGGUAACACUAACUGGAGGACCGAACCGACUAAUGUUGAAAAAUUAGCGGAUGACUUGUGGCUGGGGGUGAAAGGCCAAUCAAACCGGGAGAUAGCUGGUUCUCCCCGAAAGCUAUUUAGGUAGCGCCUCGUGAAUUCAUCUUCGGGGGUAGAGCACUGUUUCGGCUAGGGGGUCAUCCCGACUUACCAACCCGAUGCAAACUACGAAUACCGAAGAAUGUUAUCACGGGAGACACACGGCGGGUGCUAACGUCCGUCGUGAAGAGGGAAACAACCCAGACCGCCAGCUAAGGUCCCAAAGUCAUGGUUAAGUGGGAAACGAUGUGGGAAGGCACAGACAGCCAGGAUGUUGGCUUAGAAGCAGCCAUCAUUUAAAGAAAGCGUAAUAGCUCACUGGUCGAGUCGGCCUGCGCGGAAGAUGUAACGGGGCUAAACCAUGCACCGAAGCUGCGGCAGCGACACUAUGUGUUGUUGGGUAGGGGAGCGUUCUGUAAGCCUGCGAAGGUGUGCUGUGAGGCAUGCUGGAGGUAUCAGAAGUGCGAAUGCUGACAUAAGUAACGAUAAAGCGGGUGAAAAGCCCGCUCGCCGGAAGACCAAGGGUUCCUGUCCAACGUUAAUCGGGGCAGGGUGAGUCGACCCCUAAGGCGAGGCCGAAAGGCGUAGUCGAUGGGAAACAGGUUAAUAUUCCUGUACUUGGUGUUACUGCGAAGGGGGGACGGAGAAGGCUAUGUUAGCCGGGCGACGGUUGUCCCGGUUUAAGCAUGUAGGCUGGUUGUCCAGGCAAAUCCGGAUAAUCAAGGCUGAGGUGUGAUGACGAGGCACUACGGUGCUGAAGUAACAAAUGCCCUGCUUCCAGGAAAAGCCUCUAAGCAUCAGGUAACAUCAAAUCGUACCCCAAACCGACACAGGUGGUCAGGUAGAGAAUACCAAGGCGCUUGAGAGAACUCGGGUGAAGGAACUAGGCAAAAUGGUGCCGUAACUUCGGGAGAAGGCACGCUGGUGUGUAGGUGAAGCCCCUGCGGGUGGAGCUGAGACCAGUCGAAGAUACCAGCUGGCUGCAACUGUUUAUUAAAAACACAGCACUGUGCAAACACGAAAGUGGACGUAUACGGUGUGACGCCUGCCCGGUGCCGGAAGGUUAAUUGAUGGGGUUAUCCGUAAGGAGAAGCUCUUGAUCGAAGCCCCGGUAAACGGCGGCCGUAACUAUAACGGUCCUAAGGUAGCGAAAUUCCUUGUCGGGUAAGUUCCGACCUGCACGAAUGGCGUAAUGAUGGCCAGGCUGUCUCCACCCGAGACUCAGUGAAAUUGAACUCGCUGUGAAGAUGCAGUGUACCCGCGGCAAGACGGAAAGACCCCGUGAACCUUUACUAUAGCUUGACACUGAACAUUGAGCCUUGAUGUGUAGGAUAGGUGGGAGGCUUUGAAGCGUGGACGCCAGUCUGCGUGGAGCCAACCUUGAAAUACCACCCUUUAAUGUUUGAUGUUCUAACGUUGGCCCCUGACCGGGGUUGCGGACAGUGUCUGGUGGGUAGUUUGACUGGGGCGGUCUCCUCCCAAAGCGUAACGGAGGAGCACGAAGGUUAGCUAAUCCUGGUCGGACAUCAGGAGGUUAGUGCAAUGGCAUAAGCUAGCUUGACUGCGAGCGUGACGGCGCGAGCAGGUGCGAAAGCAGGUCAUAGUGAUCCGGUGGUUCUGAAUGGAAGGGCCAUCGCUCAACGGAUAAAAGGUACUCCGGGGAUAACAGGCUGAUACCGCCCAAGAGUUCAUAUCGACGGCGGUGUUUGGCACCUCGAUGUCGGCUCAUCACAUCCUGGGGCUGAAGUAGGUCCCAAGGGUAUGGCUGUUCGCCAUUUAAAGUGGUACGCGAGCUGGGUUUAGAACGUCGUGAGACAGUUCGGUCCCUAUCUGCCGUGGGCGCUGGAGAAUUGAGGGGGGCUGCUCCUAGUACGAGAGGACCGGAGUGGACGCAUCACUGGUGUUCGGGUUGUCAUGCCAAUGGCACUGCCCGGUAGCUAAAUGCGGAAGAGAUAAGUGCUGAAAGCAUCUAAGCACGAAACUUGCCCCGAGAUGAGUUCUCCCUGAGACUUUAAGUCUCCUGAAGGAACGUUGAAGACGACGACGUUGAUAGGCCGGGUGUGUAAGCGCAGCGAUGCGUUGAGCUAACCGGUACUAAUGAACCGUGAGGCUUAACCUU